UUAAAGACUGAGACGGGAAGAGUAGAUAUAAAAGAUAGUGUGAGCGAGCCGGUUAUGGUGAGAGUCCGGUACAAAGAGUUAUAUUGAAGAACAUCCCUGAGUUGCUAACCCAAAUUAUUCAUGUUAUUUACUUGGAUAAAAGUAGGCCUAGUCGGAGCCAUACCGUUAUGAAAUGGAGAGCAUCGAGAAAUCUGUGCUUGUUUUAAGUGGAGCUUUUAGUUAAUUAAGGUGGUACCGCGGAAGAUUUACCUUUCGUCCUUUUA
rnacentral:ncRNA from 1 species